GGGUGGUAAUGCCGGAUGCUCCGACAUGACGCAUGUCGUGUCGGGAAAGAUUCUAUCGGUAUGGGAUGGGGUCGCGUCCUAUCAGCUUGAUGGCGGGGUAACGGCCCACCAUGGCUUCGACGGGUAGCCGGCCUGAGAGGGCGACCGGCCACAUUGGGACUGAGAUACGGCCCAGACUCCUACGGGAGGCAGCAGUGGGGAAUAUUGCACAAUGGGCGCAAGCCUGAUGCAGCGACGCCGCGUGCGGGAUGACGGCCUUCGGGUUGUAAACCGCUUUUGACUGGGAGCAAGCCCUUCGGGGUGAGUGUACCUUUCGAAUAAGCACCGGCUAACUACGUGCCAGCAGCCGCGGUAAUACGUAGGGUGCAAGCGUUAUCCGGAAUUAUUGGGCGUAAAGGGCUCGUAGGCGGUUCGUCGCGUCCGGUGUGAAAGUCCAUCGCUUAACGGUGGAUCCGCGCCGGGUACGGGCGGGCUUGAGUGCGGUAGGGGAGACUGGAAUUCCCGGUGUAACGGUGGAAUGUGUAGAUAU
rnacentral:rRNA from 1 species